rnacentral:rRNA from 1 species
ACGGCUACCUUGUUACGACUUCACCCCAGUCAUGAAUCACUCCGUGGUAACCGUCCCCCUUGCGGUUAGACUAGCUACUUCUGGAGCAACCCACUCCCAUGGUGUGACGGGCGGUGUGUACAAGGCCCGGGAACGUAUUCACCGUGACAUUCUGAUUCACGAUUACUAGCGAUUCCGACUUCACGCAGUCGAGUUGCAGACUGCGAUCCGGACUACGAUCGGUUUUAUGGGAUUAGCUCCACCUCGCGGCUUGGCAACCCUUUGUACCGACCAUUGUAGCACGUGUGUAGCCCUGGCCGUAAGGGCCAUGAUGACUUGACGUCAUCCCCACCUUCCUCCGGUUUGUCACCGGCAGUCUCCUUAGAGUGCCCACCAUAACGUGCUGGUAACUAAG